UGGGGAAUAUUGGACAAUGGGCGCAAGCCUGAUCCAGCAAUGCCGCGUGGAUGAAGAAGGUUUUCGGAUUGUAAAGUCCUUUCGGCGGGGACGAUGAUGACGGUACCCGCAGAAGAAGCCCCGGCUAACUUCGUGCCAGCAGCCGCGGUAAUACGAAGGGGGCUAGCGUUGCUCGGAAUGACUGGGCGUAAACGGCGCGUAGGCGGUUUGCACAGUCGGGCGUGAAAUUCCAGGGCUCAACCUUGGGGCUGCGUUCGAGACGUGUGGGCUAGAGUGUGGAAGAGGGUCGUGGAAUUCCCAGUGUAGAGGUGAAAUUCGUAGAUAUUGGGAAGAACACCGGUGGCGAAGGCGGCGACCUGGUCCAUUUACUGACGCUGAGGCGCGAAAGCGUGGGGAGCAAACAGGAUUAGAUACCCUGGUAGUCCACGCUGUAAACGAUGUGCGCUGGAUGUUGGGCGGCCUAGCUGUUCAGUGUCGUAGCUAACGCGGUAAGCGCACCGCCUGGGGAGUACGGCCGCAA
rnacentral:rRNA from 1 species